ensembl:lncRNA
ACUCUGGCACUUUCCUUCCAAAGUGUAAAUCUCCUGACGUCCCUUCCUUACAAUUCUUCCUUGGCUUGCCAAUGGCUGCAGAAGGAAACCCAUUACAAUGGCAGCCCAAGCCAUUUACAAGCUGAACUCCAAACACCUGCCCAUCUUCCAUCCAGAAGUUCUAUUUUCUGGCUGAGAUCAGCUCACCCUGCACCUCACCUACUCCAAAUCACCUAUCCUCCUCCAACUAUGGCUCACUUUUCCAAGUUCCUGGGACCUCAGCCCAGGUCAGGGAACCACGACCUUGACCUCCAAGCACGCAGUCUGCUGCUUCCAGGGUGUCAGAGGCUCCACUCCACCCCAGGCUGUCUCAGCCUCUAGGGCCAACCAGGAGAACGGUUUGAGCUUCUGGAGCGAUGCCACGCUACCUGAUCUUCAGCCCAGGGACUAACCAUCUCCUGCCAGUCACCUCAAGGGUGUGCCGCUCCCAGGCGUAGACCACACACUGCACAUGCGCGACUAAACCGCGCGGCCACCGCAGCUGCCGCCACGAUGAUGGAGGCGAAAGAGCUCAUGUGACAUCAUGUUUAGCUACAAAUGUCCUCAGCCAGCACCCUCCUGCAGCUCCUUGUUCUAUUUCUAAGAAGAUCCAAGUGCUCCUCCAAGCCCUUCACCCCCUCCUCAGGGUCACACUACCUCCCUUCCUGGACCUCCUCCCUAGGGAUCCUUCUCACCCGGCACUCUUUGCAAUAAAGCUUGCAAAUCUCCCAAACACAGCUUGCUUACUCUUUUCUUUCUGCAGUCCUCAUCAUUCCAUUUUUAACCCUCCCACUAAAAGGAAACAGGAAUGCAGACUUAGGUUGUUCCUAAGACUUUUAUGGGCUUCCCUCGUGGCUCAGCAGUAAAGAAUCUGCCUGCAAUGCAAGAGAAACUGCAGACACA